UACGAAGGGGGCUAGCGUUGUUCGGAAUUACUGGGCGUAAAGCGCGCGCAGGCGGUUCUUUAAGUCAGGGGUGAAAUCCUGGAGCUCAACUCCAGAACUGCCUUUGAUACUGGCGAGCUUGAGUUCGGGAGAGGUGAGUGGAACUGCGAGUGUAGAGGUGAAAUUCGUAGAUAUUCGCAAGAACACCAGUGGCGAAGGCGGCUCACUGGCCCGAUACUGACGCUGAGGUGCGAAAGCGUGGGGAGCAAACAGG
rnacentral:rRNA from 1 species